rnacentral:rRNA from 1 species
GGAAUUGAACGGGGGCCUGCACAAGCGGUGGAGCAUGUGGUCUAAUUCGAAGCAACGCGCAGAACCUUACCAGCGUUUGACAUCCUGAUCGCGGAUUAGAGAGAUCUUUUCCUUCAGUUCGGCUGGAUCAGUGACAGGUGCUGCAUGGCUGUCGUCAGCUCGUGUCGUGAGAUGUUGGGUUAAGUCCCGCAACGAGCGCAACCCUCAUCCCUAGUUGCCAUCAUUCAGUUGGGCACUCUAAGGAAACUGCCGGUGAUAAGCCGGAGGAAGGUGGGGAUGACGUCAAGUCCUCAUGGCCCUUACGCGCUGGGCUACACACGUGCUACAAUGGCGGUGACAGUGGGCAGCAACCGGGCGACCGGUAGCUAAUCUCCAAAAACCGUCUCAGUUCGGAUUGUUCUCUGCAACUCGAGAGCAUGAAGGCGGAAUCGCUAGUAAUCGCGGAUCAGCAUGCCGCGGUGAAUACGUUCCCAGGCCUUGUACACACCGCCCGUCACACCAUGGGAGUUGGUUUCACCCGAAGGCAGUGCUCUAACCCGCAAGGGAGAAGCGACCACG